ACAACAACGUUCGGACCGUCGGUCUACCGAGCAAUAUCACCCACUCGGUGGAAGAUCUUCCUUUCAUUGUUCAGC
rnacentral:pre_miRNA from 1 species